GGGGAUCCGUCUGGUCGUGCUGAUGAUGAGUUGGUUGUCUCAGGACGAGGAGACGGCUCUUUUGGUCGCAUCUCAGGAUACUCCCAUUAGUACUAUCGGCCGGUAUCGAGUGCUGGGGUUACCGAGGAUACCAGCCUAGCUAUACACUGCCAGGAGGUAUAAUAUUUGUGUUUAUUUUGUGUUUAUGAAUAAAGUAAACUUGUAAUAUUAUUCAUGUUAUAUUUAUUUUUGUAGGCUUUAGCCAGCGUUUGCGUCCAAGAGCCCCCGUGGGACCAUCACAUACGGGUGUUGGCUUAGAUGAUGCUUUGUUCCAGCGUGUUAUGACUGUGGUGUCGAAGAGGUUUGAGACCGAUCCACUGUUCCAUCGUCAGGACCCGCUCAGCCGUUCUCGCCUCCAUCAGCUUGCGCAUGCCGUUGUAGCUGGUGCCACCGCAGAGAGUACGGGUAUCCCUCCGGAGCAGUGGGCCGCGAUACGCGAUGAGAUUGUUCGGAUGGUGGUUACCUUAGUCGAGGAUGCGUUUGAGCCGAUGUUGAGUCAGCG
rnacentral:lncRNA from 1 species